GCCAGCAUGGUGUAGUGGUUUGAGUGUUGGACUAUGACUCUGGAGACCAAGGUUCAAAUCCUGACUCGGCU
rnacentral:tRNA from 1 species